UACAUGUGAUUGAGAGAACAGCAGAGAUACAUGUGACUGAGAGAACAGCAGAGAUACAUGUGACUGAUAACAGCAGAGGUACAUGUGACUGAGAGAACAGCAGAGAUACAUGUGACUGAUAACAGCAGAGAUACAUGUGACUGAUAACAG